CCUACGGGAGGCAGCAGUAGGGAAUAUUGCUCAAUGGGGGAAACCCUGAAGCAGCAACGCCGCGUGGAGGAUGAAGGUUUUCGGAUUUUAAACUCCUUUUUUUAGAGAAGAUAAUGACGGUAUCUAACGAAUAAGCACCGUCUAACACCGUGCCAGCAGCAGCGGUAAUACGGAGGGUGCAAGCGUUACUCGGAAUCACUGGGCGUAAAGAGCGCGUAGGCGGGAUAGCAAGUCAGAUGUGAAAUCCUAUGGCUUAACCAUAGAACUGCAUUUGAAACUGUUAUUCUAGAGUAUGGGAGAGGUAGGUGGAAUUCUUGGUGUAGGGGUAAAAUCCGUAGAGAUCAAGCGGAAUACUCAUUGCGAAGGCGACCUGCUAGAACAUCACUGACGCUGAUGCGCGAAAGCGUGGGGAGCAAACAGGAUUAGAUACCCGAGUAGUC
rnacentral:rRNA from 1 species